AAAACAUGGUUUUUUGAUAAUAAUUUAAAAUUAUUUCUGCUCAGUGAUAAUUUAUUAAAUAGCCGCAGUAUAUUGACUGUGCAAAGGUAGCAUAAUCAAUUGUUUUUUAAAUGAAAACUGGAAUGAAGGGAUUGAUGAAAUUAAAACUGUUUCAAUAAAUAAUUUUAAAAAUUAAAUUUUAAGUUAAAAUUCUUAAAGGGAAUUAUGGGACGAGAAGACCCUAUUGAAUUUAAUAUAAUUUUUAAAUUUAUUUAAGGAAUUAAAAAUAAAAUUAAUUAUUUAUAUUUUGUUGGGAGGAUAAUUAAAUAAAAAUAACUUUAAUUUUUUAUAUGUGACAUAAAUUAAUGAAAUUUAAAUGAUUAAUUAUUAUUAGGGAAUUUUUUUUUAUAUAAUAAUUAUUAUUAGAAUUAAUUACCUUAGGGAUAACAGCGUAAUAUUUUUAAAAAGAUCUUAUUGAUAAGAAUGAUUGCGACCUCGAUGUUGAAUUAAAAUAAAAAUUAAAUGAAGAAGUUUAAUAUUUUAGUCUGUUCGACUAAUAAAAUUUUACGUGAUCUGAGUUCA
rnacentral:rRNA from 1 species